rnacentral:rRNA from 1 species
GACGAACGCUGGCGGCGUGCUUAACACAUGCAAGUCGAGCGGAAAGGCCACUUCGGUGGUACUCGAGCGGCGAACGGGUGAGUAACACGUGAGUAAUCUGCCCUUCACUUUGGGAUAACCCCCGGAAACGGGAGCUAAUACCGGAUAUGACCACCGUCCGCAUGGGCUGGUGGUGGAAACUUUUUUGGGUGGGGGAUGUGCUCGCGGCCUAUCAGCUUGUUGGUGGGGUAAUGGCCUACCAAGGCUUUGACGGGUAGCCGGCCUGAGAGGGUGACCGGCCACACUGGGACUGAGACACGGCCCAGACUCCUACGGGAGGCAGCAGUGGGGAAUGUUGGACAAUGGGCGGAAGCCUGAUCCAGCAACGCCGCGUGAGGGAUGACGGCCUUCGGGUUGUAAACCUCUUUCAGCACCGACGAAGCGCAAGUGACGGUAGGUGCAGAAGAAGGACCGGCCAACUUCGUGCCAGCCGCCGCCGUAAUAC